AGCGAACGCCGGCGGCAGGCCUAACACAUGCAAGUCGAACGGAUCCUUCGGGAUUAGUGGCGGACGGGUGAGUAACACGUGGGAACGUGCCCUUUGGUUCGGAACAACUCAGGGAAACUUGAGCUAAUACCGGAUGUGCCCUUCGGGGGAAAGAUUUAUCGCCAUUGGAGCGGCCCGCGUCUGAUUAGCUAGUUGGUGAGGUAACGGCCCACCAAGGCGACGAUCAGUAGCUGGUCUGAGAGGAUGAUCAGCCACACUGGGACUGAGACACGGCCCAGACUCCUACGGGAGGCAGCAGUGGGGAAUCUUGCGCAAUGGGCGAAAGCCUGACGCAGCCAUGCCGCGUGAAUGAUGAAGGUCUUAGGAUUGUAAAAUUCUUUCAGCGGGGACGAUAAUGACGGUACCCGCAGAAGAAGCUCCGGCUAACUUCGUG
rnacentral:rRNA from 1 species